CUUCUUAGAGGGACUAUCGGUGUUUAACCGAUGGAAGUUUGAGGCAAUAACAGGUCUGUGAUGCCCUUAGAUGUUCAGGGCCGCACGCGCGCUACACUGAUGAAGUCAUCGAGUUCAUUUCCUUCAUCGGAAGAUGUGGGUAAUCUUUUGAAACUUCAUCGUGCUGGGGAUAGAGCUUUGCAAUUAUUGCUCUUGAMCGAGGAAUCCCUAGUAAGUACAAGUCAUCAGCUUGUGCUGAUUACGUCCCUGCCCUUUGUACACACCGCCCGUCGCUACUACCGAUUGAAUGGCUUAGUGAGGC
rnacentral:rRNA from 2 species